UCUCUCGAUGGAGAGGGGUCAUUUAGCUGGAGGGGGUCUCUCUCUCUCUGUGUGUUUGUAGUCUCUCGAUGGAGAGGGGUCAUUUAGCUGGAGGGGGUCUCUCUCUCUCUCUGUGUGUUUGUAGUCUCUCGAUGGAGAGGGGUCAUUUAGCUGGAGGGGGUCUCUCUCUCUCUCUGUGUGUUUGUAGUCUCUCGAUGGAGAGGGGUCAUUUAGCUGGAGGGGGUCUCUCUCUCUCUCUGUGUGUUUGUAGUCUCUCGAUGGAGAGGGGUCAUUUAGCUGGAGGGGGGGUCUCUCUCUCUUUGUGUGUUUGUAGUCUUCAGUGUGUAAAAUGUAACCACAGUUAAACACACUUAAAUGCUGAACACGCAGAUUUUGGGGUACCCACCAACCGGUCGAAGCAACCGGGAGAAGCUGGAUCAGGGUAGAGGGCCAGAACAAACCCUGGUCACGCCAAACACCAGGUUGAAUAAAGGUAAGCUAAGAGGUAUCAAGAGCAGUUAGAGAAAGUAUUUAAUAGGGUUAAAACAAAAGGCAGAAGGGCC
ensembl:lncRNA